AACGAGUUAGGGAUUGAAAUGACAUCCUUAUUAUGGUUUUAUAGACAUGCUACUCUUAUAUUAUUAUCUAGAUUUUUAUAUAAAAACUAUCACAUUUAUAUAGCUAACAUAAAAAGAUACAAUGGAAAGCCCGACCUUUU
rnacentral:sRNA from 1 species